UACGGAGGGUGCAAGCGUUAUCCGGAUUUACUGGGCUUAAAGGGAGCGCAGGCGGAUUAGUAAGUCAGUGGUGAAAGCCUUGAGCUUAACUCGAGAACUGCCAUUGAUACUAUUAGUCUUGAAUGUUGUUGAGGUUUGCGGAAUGGGUCAUGUAGCGGUGAAAUGCAUAGAUAUGACCCGGAACACCUAUUGCGAAGGCAGCAGGCUAAACAAAUAUUGACGCUGAGGCUCGAAAGCGUGGGGAUCAAACAGG
rnacentral:rRNA from 1 species